rnacentral:tRNA from 1 species
GCCCGAUUAGCGUAGCCUGGUUAGCGCGCAGGCCUGUGGAGCCUGAGGGCCGGGUUCAAAUCCCGGGUCGGGCC